AUGGCCGAUUUCUACUGCAUGCCGGGGCUGGACGACCUCCACAGGCUGUUGCCGCGCGAGAUCCUGGCGGACAUCGGCGUUGCCGACGCCAUCGACGAUCCGACGGCCCACUGUAGCCACCCCGCCGUUAACAUGGAGGAGCUCGCCGUGCACCUCGCGGGCGUCCUCGGCCUCGCCAGCGGGAGAUACCAACGCCAGCUUCCUCCGUUGACAAGGGCCACGCCUGCUCAGGGUUGUGGUCCAAUGAACGAAGCUGGAGCUAACAGAGGCAAUGGAGGAACGGCCUAUUGUGCGACGGCUUUCGGGAAGAAAGGAGCAUCUUUCGAUUUCGAAGCCAUGCAGAGGGUGCGGUGGUUUGUGCCGGCCGCGCACCACAACGCGUACCAUCCAUUGCCGCCGAGGCGUCACGGCAAUCCUGGCACAGGCGUGUUCUUGCCGCGCGCGGAUGCGUACCAGACCAGAGCUUUCAGACAAGCGCGGCUGCCGAGGAAGGAGGCGCCCAAUAGGACGACGAUGUUGAAGCUGAGGACACAGUAG
rnacentral:rRNA from 1 species